CCGCUGUGAUGACAGUCUUAGGACACCUUUGGAUUCAUGAUGAAACUAAACGUUAGUCUGAGCGGC